rnacentral:rRNA from 2 species
UAAAACCAGCACCUCAAGUGGUCAGGAUGAUUAUUGGGCCUAAAGCAUCCGUAGCCGGCUCAGUAAGUUUUCGGUUAAAUCUGUACGCUUAACGUACAGGCUGCCGGGAAUACUGCUGGGCUAGGGAGUGGGAGAGGUAGACGGUACUCGGGAGGAAGUGGUAAAAUGCUUUGAUCUCUCGAUGACCACCUGUGGCGAAGGCGGUCUACCAGAACACGUCCGACGGUGAGGGAUGAAAGCUGGGGGAGCAAACCGGAUUAGAUACCCGGGUAGUCCCAGCUGUAAACUAUGCAAACUCAGUGAUGCAUUGGCUUGUGGCCAAUGCAGUGUUGCAGGGAAGCCGUUAAGUUUGCCGCCUGGGAAGUACGUACGCAAGUAUG